AUUGAACGCUGGCGGCAUGCUUUACACAUGCAAGUCGAACGGUAACAGGCCUUCGGGUGCUGACGAGUGGCGGACGGGUGCGUAAUGCAUCGGAACGUGCCCAGAGGUGGGGGAUAACGCAGCGAAAGCUGUGCUAAUACCGCAUGUGAUCUGAGGAUGAAAGCGGGGGACCAGGCAGCAAUGUUUGGCCUCGCGCCUUUGGAGCGGCCGAUGUCAGAUUAGGUAGUUGGGGGGGUAAAGGCCUACCAAGCCGACGAUCUGUAGCUGGUCUGAGAGGACGACCAGCCACACUGGAACUGAGACACGGUCCAGACUCCUACGGGAGGCAGCAGUGGGGAAUUUUGGACAAUGGGCGCAAGCCUGAUCCAGCAAUGCCGCGUGCGGGAAGAAGGCCUUCGGGUUGUAAACCGCUUUUGUACGGAACGAAAAGUCUCUGGCUAAUACCUGGCUCUGAUGACGGUACCGAAAGAAUAAGCACCGGCUAACUACGUG
rnacentral:rRNA from 1 species